GUGGGGAAUAUUGGACAAUGGGCGCAAGCCUGAUCCAGCCAUGCCGCGUGAGUGAUGAAGGCCUUAGGGUUGUAAAGCUCUUUCAGUGGGGACGAUAAUGACGGUACCCACAGAAGAAGCCCCGGCUAACUUCGUGCCAGCAGCCGCGGUAAUACGAAGGGGGCUAGCGUUGUUCGGAUUUACUGGGCGUAAAGCGCACGUAGGCGGAUCGUUAAGUCGGGGGUGAAAUCCUGGAGCUCAACUCCAGAACUGCCUUCGAUACUGGCGCUCUUGAGUCCGGAAGAGGUGAGUGGAACUCCUAGUGUAGAGGUGGAAUUCGUAGAUAUUAGGAAGAACACCAGUGGCGAAGGCGGCUCACUGGUCCGGUACUGACGCUGAGGUGCGAAAGCGUGGGGAGCAAACAGGAUUAGAAACCCUGGUAGUCC
rnacentral:rRNA from 1 species